AAAAAUUCAGUUGAUAUUAGGCUGUUAAUUUGUUGCGCAACAAAAUAAGGGAAUAAUAAUAGACAAUCAAGAGAAAUUUUAGUGGGGUAGGAAGAUAAAUUAAAUGGUGCGUCCGAGUAGACUCGAACUACCGACCCCCACCA
rnacentral:antisense_RNA from 1 species